AUGUCCUCUUUCCUUUUAAGUAAACCCACGUAGACAAGCUCAAGAGGUAGAUCAGCAAUGAAGUCGUGGUUUAAAAUCGGUCUCGCUAUCCAACUUCUUGUCGUCGUUUCCAUUUCGCUGCCCUUGGCGCAUUUGGGCGAAGAGAUCGCCAUUUCUCCUGAAAAGACGGUGCUUUCACUUUUCGUCGGUUCAUCUUCAUCGAUGUUUUUUCGAAUUCUCUAUCUUCGGUGUUCUUUUUUUCGAUAGAUCGUCUGUUUCGUGUGUUUCAAGUUUUAUUCGACUACUUAUUCUUUUAUUCUAUGAUUAGACGUAGCAACGCAAGCGGAAGAAGGUCUACAACGUCUCGUGGGAGAAUGAUAGUUUGUGGCGGUGCACUUGGUACGGCUCACAGGAGGAGAAGCGAUUUUAAAUUGCUGUCAAGUUGGGCCACGGUCGGAUCGAUUGUCGGAGUUAGACGCAAUUGUGCGACGUCGAUCCGCGAACAGAAGGAAUAAGGUCUUUGUUGCCACGCCAUCCCGAUCCUGCGACGAUCGCUUGCCAGUUUAAACGUGAAACCUGCGGAUGGAACGGUAACGAGAGACCGUCGUGAAAUCGUACGAUAGUUGCCUGAUUUUCGUGGACAUGUCCAAUGACUGCUGGCACGAAUCGUCAGUUUGGGCCAUCGAACGACCAACAAAUUAUUUGGAAUAUCCAUGAAUUUGCCACGGGGGUUGGACAAUGAUAUAAAACUAUGAGAGAGGUUGACAAAAAAGAGAAGGACAAGUGGGGAAUAUGUUUGAAGAGUACAGGCGAAGAACACGAUAAGUCAUAUUUUCCAUCCUUUAUAAGAAAGCAGCUCUGAAAUCCAAUCUCAUGCUAUCAAAAUUAUUUUCCUAUUCGGCUUCGAGGCUACACAUAUGUUUUCCUAUCCUGUUCGUAAUAUUAAAUAUGCAGCAGUGAUAAAAUACCAAAGAUAUUAAAAUUCUUAACACCUUUGAUUUUUAAUAAAAAGUUUAUAAUUAGUUUAUAAUUAAUAAAUUAUUCUACCAGUUAUCUUUAAAUAGUUUCCACCAUUGGACCUAGCAGAUUCUUUUCAAUCAUAGGAUGAAAUUAAAAUAAAAAAAUGAACAAGAACGUACUUAUCAAGUUUUUUCCUGUGAUCUUCAUUUGUUAACGCCUUGGAUCGUAUCGUUUUAUCAGGCGGACAAGAUAUCGUGUAAAAUAGGUCUCGAGACGAGACAGUACUCGAUGAAAGACUCACUGAAAAUGCAAUCUCUUUUGUCCGAACAAAGUUUAAAUCACAUCGAUGGGAACUCUUAAUUGAUACGACAUAAAUAUAUGUUUAUGGUCGGUAAUCGGUAAACGAGUUCAAUCAGUAUCGAAAACGUGAUUCGACAAUGCUACUUGGGAAGUCACAUCUUAAAGCGUAUUAACCGACCAGCGGGAGGAAAAUAUGCCAUGGUCGGAUGUUCUGUGAAUGGAUAAAUGAGUGGACAGGACAGAUUAAAUUAUAA
rnacentral:misc_RNA from 1 species